rnacentral:rRNA from 1 species
AGUGAACACUGGCGGCAGGCCUAACACAUGCAAGUCGAACGGCAGCACAGAGGAGCUUGCUCCUUGGGUGGCGAGUGGCGGACGGGUGAGGAAUACAUCGGAAUCUGCCUAUUUGUGGGGGAUAACGUAGGGAAACUUACGCUAAUACCGCAUACGACCUACGGGUGAAAGCGGAGGACCUUCGGGCUUCGCGCAGAUAGAUGAGCCGAUGUCGGAUUAGCUAGUUGGCGGGGUAAAGGCCCACCAAGGCGACGAUCCGUAGCUGGUCUGAGAGGAUGAUCAGCCACACUGGAACUGAGACACGGUCCAGACUCCUACGGGAGGCAGCAGUGGGGUAUAUUGGACAAUGGGCGCAAGCCUGAUCCAGCCAUGCCGCGUGGGUGAAGAAGGCCUUCGGGUUGUAAAGCCCUUUUGUUGGGAAAGAAAAGCAGCCGGUUAAUACCCGGUUGUUCUGACGGUACCCAAAGAAUAAGCACCGGCUAACUUCGUGCCAGCCGCCGCAGUAAAAC